rnacentral:lncRNA from 1 species
AUGAAGCCACUGUCUUGUAGUUCAGUGAUCUGUUUCCUUAGUUCUUCUAUCUCAAUGCGACUCAUUCGGUAAGGAGCUACUAAGAUGGGCUGGGUACCUGGCUGUAAGUCUAUGGUGAACUCGACCUCCCUGUCCCUUGAAUUCGGCCACACUCGCAUCGGUCCCUGUGAGAAAACAACCCUAGGGCCCUCGGGGGGCCAAAAAAUCACGGAAAAACGGAGCUUACCGGCGGCGGCGCUCUCGGGUGCGGCGGCUCUCCGGCGAAGUUCGUGUUUUGGUGAUUCGG